UUACCGGGUCCGGACAUACCGAGGAUUGACAGACUGUUAACUGCAACACAUGCUGCUAAGUUUUAAACUUAAUAGCUCUUUCAUGAUUAUAUGAUAGGUGGUGCAUGGCCGUUCUUAGUUCGUGGAGUGAUCUGUCUGCUUAAUUGCGUUUCAAAAUUUAAACCUGAGCGACAAGGUGCUACUAUCGAAACUGUCUUUGAGUGUGAACUAUAAGUCUUUUGACUUAUGACCAUCACUCUAGACGUUUAUGUUUUGGUGUUGGCCCUUGAUGCUCAUUUGAACGCAACGGACGUGAUUGCAACCCCUUGUUGAGAUUUAUCCGAUCUCUACGUUCACUGAACCACACUCUUUAGCGAGAGCAGUGGGGAUGUGGAUAAACUCGGGGGACUGCUGACUAUAAACUUUUCUCAAACCAGAGGAAGGUUGCGGCAAUAACAGGUCUGUGAUGCCCUCAGAUGUUCCGGGCU
rnacentral:rRNA from 1 species